rnacentral:other from 1 species
AACAGCCUGCCCGAUUCGCGGACUGUGCACAUAUAACCCUACACUCCUCAUAUUGGGAGCCUUGUCUCCGCUUGCGGAUUGCAGACCUCCCGGCGCGGCGUUGACCGUUGCUGGACGAAGGGAGCGAGAACCAAAUGGGAGGGCACCCACCUGCUUUUUCUGUAGCAGGUUAUUGAGAUGCACAAUACGGUCGGGCGGGCUGCUU